rnacentral:lncRNA from 1 species
UACUCGAGUCCUUCCCACCAGCCCCCACUCCCGCCUUACCUGCAACCCUGUGAAGUCCUUGGGGUGUAAGAAUUAGGCCGAGUCCAUCUGCAUCUUCCUGCAGGGCUCCGGGCCAAGCAUCGGCUCACCCAAGACUGCCUAAAGGAGUGAAUGAACCCACGAACCCACGAAAGUGUUCCUCGGUUCGCCUAAGGGAAGAGAUGGUCCAGACAGUUCUCAGGACCCACAGUUAGCAAAGACAAGAAGUCUGCAUGAAGUGCCCAGUAAUAAAAGUAAGCGGCUUGAAGAGUCCUUGGGCUGCUCCUUGGAAAAGAGACAACGGAAGGAGAAGGUACUGACGCGGAGAGAGCCUCACUGGAACAGAUGCAGCCUCCAGCCCUCCACCCCACGCAGAGGCAAGUCCUGGCAGAGAAGCUUCAGUGUAUGACUCCAUUGCCAGCACCUACAGAUGCCCAGGAGGCACUCAAGCAACAUUCGUUAACUCAAGAACUGCUUUAGAGACAAUUUACCCGCUUUCCCCAGUCGCCUUAUUUGGUAGCUGUUCCAUGUUUCCCAUUUGUGUUUUGUAACUCAGAAUAAUUCAGUCCUUCUCCCACGGUUCUUAAACAAAC